AGUGAAGCCGGGAAACCGGUCCUUCUAACCCUUGAUUAUCAUAAUUUGUUGCUUUGGUGGGCCGCGCAAGCACUGGCUCCGGCUGGUCAGUGCCCACCAGAGAACCACAACUCUGUAAUAAAUGUCGUCUGAGUACUAUAUAAUAGUUAAAACUUUCAACAACGGAUCUCUUGGUUCU
rnacentral:misc_RNA from 1 species